rnacentral:rRNA from 1 species
UACGGAUGGGGCUAGCGUUGUUCGGAAUUACUGGGCGUAAAGCGCACGUAGGCGGACUGGAAAGUCAGGGGUGAAAUACCGGGGCUCAACCCCGGAACUGCCUUUGAAACUCCCGGUCUUGAGGUCGAGAGAGGUGAGUGGAAUUCCGAGUGUAGAGGUGAAAUUCGUAGAUAUUCGGAGGAACACCAGUGGCGAAGGCGGCUCACUGGCUCGAUACUGACGCUGAGGCGCGAAAGCGUGGGGAGCAAACAGG